rnacentral:lncRNA from 1 species
UUCUACCGUGGCGGGAAGGAGGGUCUUCUUGGAAAUUUUUCUGAAAGACCAGAACCUUCCAGACCUCUAGUCCCUCCUGUUCGUUACAGGCCCUUCCCUUUUACAAAAACAAAAACAAAAACAAAAACAAAAAACAACAAGCAAAGAGCCCCCACCUUGGUCACACUCGAGUGCCUAAGCUCUCCUGAGAUCACAGGAAAGAGGGUCCCAAAGCAGGUCCUCUACCCUCGCAGCACACCUCCUCCCGCCCUGGGGGUCCGAGCGCCCCACGGCUCCACUACCGGGCCGGUGCCCCCACCCCCUAAACCCGGGGGUCAAGAGCACGCAACGCUCUGGGGUCCGCAGGGCGCAUGCAGGGGCUGUCGGUUCAGCGUGCCCCCCGCCCUCCGACGCUCAGCCCCUGGGGCCGCACAGACCCCAGGCCGCCCGGAUCAGGGUCAGGAGCUCGGUCUCCCCGCGCCCCCCACCCAACCUCCCUCGCCCCGGCAAUGCAAACCCGCAGGGAAGCCGGCGGGAGAGUUACCCGCCGAGGCCCAGGCGCGAAGACUGCAGAGGCGUGCGGGACUCUGCGGCGGGAGGCCUGCGGCUCUCCGGCCGCCCGCCGCCGCUCGCUCCAGCCGGCCGCUGCCUCUCCCGCGGCGCCUGCAGCAUCGGGCCGCCGAAGCCCGCGGCCGGCGGAAACCGGAGGAAGGUGGCCCGGGUCAGGGGCAGCGCCGGCACGAUUCCUCGUCCGCGGACCAGGCGGGGGAGCUGGGGAAGGCGCGGCGCCGAGCGGAGUCCGAGGCGCCCGGCCGCGCGCUGCCCUCCGCGCUGGGGUCCGGAUCCCAGGCGACUGCGCCGAGCGCCUCCGGAGCCGCGGGGUCGCUCCUCCUGCUCGUCUGCUGGCGCCAGACGCGCGGUGACCACGGCCGCCCCCGAGUCCACGGAGGAAGGUGCACUGCAGAGCGAGGCUGUGGGGGCUCCGCGCCCCCCGGAGCAGGAAGGCAGGAAAGCAGCCGAGCCCCUACCUUUCGGGCUGGGCGGACACCAGCCGCGCGCCCUUGCCGGGCGUCAGGGACGGAAAAUCACCACGACGGGAGGGCCCGGGUAAAGCAGCGGGUGGCUUCAGGACAAGCAUUAAAGAAACUCAUCUACUCCCAGACUUACAGGGGUUGGCCACAUCACCAAAGGAUAUUAUAAGACAGUGACUUGUCAAGCAGAGAGAUACUGCUGGAAUACAAAGUUGCUUCUGGAGAGUCCACUAGGAACCACUGCCUAUGGAACCACAUAGGAACCUCUCCCAACUUCCUGUCAUUACACCUGGAGAUAGAGAGGCACCAAGUGUGAAAUGGUGGAAAAGAAGGCAAGGUGGAGGCCACUCGAUACACUCAAAUGUGAGCUCAUAUUAAUUGUACUCCUGCCAGAUGCUAGGUGAUUUUAUAGGUUAUAUUGUUUACCACACACAGCAGCCCUGUGAGCUGAAUAUCAUUAUCCCCAUUUUCCAGAUGAUGAAUUGAAGACUCAGUGAAAUUACCUAAUUGGCCCAAGGACCGGAACUUGUACGUGUCACACCUAGAAUUUGCACCCAGGUUAAACUCCAAGGCUCUCUUUUCAUACCCAUGACAUAGUGUCUUUCUAGUCAAGAGAUGAAGGAUGUGAGAGAAUUAAUGACGGUUAUGCAAGUAUGAUGUUUCACAAAAACACUUAGAACCUGGUCAAUUGAAUGGGAAUCCUGGGAAACCUUAGUUGGCUUUUUGUAUGCGGGUAUCAAGAUGGUGGCUGCAAUGGUAUGGCCAACAUUUCCAGUUCCCAUUGUUCCAGUUCCUGUUCCCCCAAACCAGAAUGUCUUCUCCAGGGAUGUGCAGACUGUAGAUUAUGGAAAUAUUUCUUCAGGACCCCAGUCAUCAUUCCUCCUGGCUGAGUCUGCUCACUUUCACACCUGAGCUCACUUUGGGAUAGAUCCCAUUUUAAUGUAAUUACGUUAGCAGAAGCACUAACCAUAAAGGCAUCAGGGUCAUCACAAGGGAAACAUGUGUGGCAGCUCCCCAGGAGCAUGCAAAUGCAACACUUCAAUUCUUCAUUUCUAUUCCACAUCAGAACAGUUUAUUACACUAUAGGACAUUAUGAACACAAGAGAACUGAUACCAAUAAUAAAGAGCUGUAGAGAUAGGAACCGCCAUGAACAUCUGAAGUAGAAGUAAAAUGAAGGAUUGAAACUGACCACUGUUCCCUAAUGGUUUAGACUAGGAAUCAGUUUUCAUUUUACAAUGUUUACAAUUUUCGUUUUUACUGAAUCUUCUGGUAAGCUUCCAAAUUUACUUUUUUGCACUCAGGUGCCAUAUUGGCAGUUUUUCCAAAUCCUGCACAUGACUGUUAACUAUUACAAGUAUAUUAACCACAUGGUGAUAUCCUGACCAUCUGAGCAGCUCUCUUCAGUGCUUCAAAAGUGGUAAAUACAAAAAACAAAUAACAAAUAAUUAACAAAUACAAAUAACUUUAAUCUCUAUCAUCAUUUAGUAUUAUCGCAUAAAAUUGAGGGGUUCUGAAUCUCUGCCUAAGGGACUAAAGAGAAACAAUUUUGUUUUUGCUUAAAGAGAGAGAUGGGAAUAGGCAGGACUUAACUGUAUGUCUCUGUGCUUAUCAGUGAUAAAUAAAUGCAUUUUAACCAAGUCAACUAAGUCCUAGACUCUGGAUCCACAAAAUUUUGUAUAAUUGAUAAAACUUUUUUACUGGCUAUAGAUUAAAAAGCUGAAUACAGUUGAAUUUUCCUGGGCCCUUUAGAGUUAAGAGUCCUGCCACUGAGAAUCUGUCAUACAAAAUGUUAAUCUGUACGCUCGAAAACAAUAAAACUCCAAUACUAAAUACCUGGAGGUUGUCCCUAAGUUUUCUUUAACUGAGGUGAGUAAUAAGUUCAUUUGUACAUGAUUUCAGAAAAUGUGCAUAUCCCUUGCUGUUCAGCGCCCCCCCCCCCCCCCCCACGCUUAUUCUGUAUCUGAGAUCUCUCAAGGAUUCACUCACCAUUUCCAUAGAGGGACUUGGGAGUCUUCUCUUGCGAGCUCUACUUUCUUAAUUCUCAGUCUUUGUACGUCCUGCUGCUCACUGAGCAUUCAGUUCCACAUGUAUUUAUCAGCACCUGCUGUAUGCAAAGUAUUGCACAAAAAGCAGAGUCAACAAAUCCAAAGCCAAAUUUUAAGUCUUCUACCCUGACCAGCUUUUUCUUUUCACUUACUCAUUUUUAUUACUGAUAAUGCUUUUCUCCCACCUUUCCACUUUUAAACCCUUAGAAUUAUCUUUGAUCUGUCCUUCUUUCUCUCCAUCUCACCUGAACUUCCAUCCUUCAUGUCAUUAGCACACUCCACAUUCAGUCAUUAAAUGCACACUGCUUGCUAUCUGCCAGGAACUGUUGCAGGUGCUAGGAGUAGUUUGCCAGUGGGGAAACAGGCAAAAAUGUUUGCUUUCCUGGAGUUAUAUUUUAGUAAUUCAUCUUGAUUUCCUUUGUGUUUCCCUCUUGCAUAGUGUUUAUUUCACUUACUCCAGACCUGCAUUCCCUGAGUCACCCUAUCACCCCCAUCACCUGGAGCGGCUCUCUUGGAAUAAUAUCCUAAGGACCCACAGCUCGCUUUUUUACUUCUCAGUCUUGAGCAAAUCUCCCAAACUUGUUUUAGGCUUCUUUUCCAUAGAGCAGCCUGCCUGCUCACCCUUCACCCCACUGGAACAAAAGACAACAUUGGAUUCCACAUCUCUGCCUGUCAGUCUUUUGAAAACAAAAGCAGCACCAGCAGAGAUGUUCUAGAGAUCUGUUAACUUGUUUCUUACCCUGUAACAGAAAAGUCACUGAGCCAAACCCCAAAACUUAGUUACCUUCUUGAGAUGGAGGAGGGAUAAAUAUUUACAGCUGGAGAUCACAAGUCUGAAAUUAACAUGAGCAAGGCUGGGUUCCUUCCAGAGGAGGGGCGGAAAGAAUUUGUUUCCCUGCCUUUUCCAGCUUCUAGAGGCCACUCACGCUCCUUGGCUUACAGCUCUUCCACCAUUUUCAAGGCUUGCAGUGUAGGAUCCUCACAUUUCUUUGACUGUGAUCCCUGCUUCUCUCAACCCAUCUCCUGUUCUGACUCUGACCCUUCUGCCUCCCUCUUCUAGGGACCUUGUGACAUUGGACCCACCUGGAUAAUCUCCCCAUGUGAAGACCCUUAACUUAAUCAUGUCUGUAAAAUUUCUUUUGCCAUUUAAAGUAGUACUUUCACAGAUUUAUGGGAUUAGGAUGUAUACAUCUUUUGGCAGGCAUUAUUUGAUUUCCCACAUAUACCAUUUAGUUUUUCUGGUCAAAAACACUUGUACUGUUUUCAAUGUGGGGAAUUGUAUUUUCAGGAAGAAAUUAAUAGAUGGUGUUAUAUACAAGAGAAGAACCACAAAUCACUCAUUCACUCACCAAGUAUUUGUGUUUACUAUGUGUCAGGCACUGGACAAGGAGCGUUCUGGGGAUACAGAUAAGAGCAGAUAAGUCUGUAGAGUGUGAUGCUUAUGAGUCAAGACUCCAAAGUCUGAUUGUCUGAUUUUGAAUCCUGGCCUCACCAUUUAUACACUGUGUGAUGUAAGCAAAUUACUUCAUUUCUCUGUGCCUCAAUUUUGUCACUUAUGAAAUUAAGAUAGAAUUAGAACUGUCCCAUAGGGUUCCGACGAUGAUUUGGUGAGAUUCUAGGUAACCCCUUUGGCACACUGGCUGGCAUAUAGGGUUCCAUAAAUGUUAGCUUUGAGGUGGAGAGUGAGGGAACAGAAAAUAGAGAUCACGGAGUAUAUAAGGGCUUUCCAAAGCUAGAUCUUAAAAGUUCAGUUUCUUUUGGGGGAGAAAUGAGGGAUGUGCAGUGAGAAGACAUAGUGAAGGAUUUAGAAACCAUGAGAAAUGGCUGAGGAGACUGGAGGAAUUUAGCUGGGGGAGGAAAAGGCUUAGGAGUUACAUGAGAACUGUAUUUCAAUACCAUGCUUGGGCAGUUGGCACAGCAAAAGAGAUUAGACUUAUUUUACUUCUAUCCAGAAAAAAUAUCCAAGCCCAAGUGGAAAUGGCAAAAACAUUGAUGUCAAUAUUUGAAAGAACUUGUGAAUAAUAAGGAGUUCCUUUUUUUUUUUUUUUUUUUUUUUUUUUUUUU